AAGAGUAUCGGCAGAAUACCUUGGCCCUCACUUUUGAUUAUGUAUACCUAAUUAUUUAGUGCUUCUCACAGCCUGCUCAGUGGCAGCAUUCUCAUUUUAGCUUUUUGCUGACUUUCACUGUGAAAUUGUUUAACAGUGAUCUAAUGCAUGUGUUUUAGACUUCAUUCAACAAACCUGGACUGUGUCCUGCUGGAUACUGCUACUUGGCUUUGGGCUCUCUCUGCUUUGAGCCUCUGUUAUUGUCAAGCAAAAAGAUGGGCAUGAAUUAUGAAGUUCUGCUGCAGGUCUGACAGCCAUGCUUGCCUUGGUUCUGAAGCCUCUACCACAGCAAGGGCAGUGCCAGGUUCCAUUUGCUGCAUGGAGGAACAGUCGGCUUUGCCAACAGGCAACGUCUCACUGCACCCCUUUUCCACGCCAUCUGUCUGACCUGGACCCAUUCCAAACACUUCGGCUUUGCUGGCAGGACAGCCUUCCUGCCACAGAAGUUUUGUAAUCUGCUAAUU